rnacentral:rRNA from 1 species
UGCAGUCGAGCGGACAGAAGGGAGCUUGCUCCCGGAUGUUAGCGGCGGACGGGUGAGUAACACGUGGGUAACCUGCCUGUAAGACUGGGAUAACUCCGGGAAACCGGAGCUAAUACCGGAUAGUUCCUUGAACCGCAUGGUUCAAGGAUGAAAGACGGUUUCGGCUGUCACUUACAGAUGGACCCGCGGCGCAUUAGCUAGUUGGUGAGGUAACGGCUCACCAAGGCGACGAUGCGUAGCCGACCUGAGAGGGUGAUCGGCCACACUGGGACUGAGACACGGCCCAGACUCCUACGGGAGGCAGCAGUAGGGAAUCUUCCGCAAUGGACGAAAGUCUGACGGAGCAACGCCGCGUGAGUGAUGAAGGUUUUCGGAUCGUAAAGCUCUGUUGUUAGGGAAGAACAAGUGCAAGAGUAACUGCUUGCACCUUGACGGUACCUAACCAGAAAGCCACGGCUAACUACGUGCCAGCAGCCGCGGUAAUACGUAGGUGGCAAGCGUUGUCCGGAAUUAUUGGGCGUAAAGGGCUCGCAGGCGGUUUCUUAAGUCUGAUGUGAAAGCCCCCGGCUCAACCGGGGAGGGUCAUUGGAAACUGGGAAACUUGAGUGCAGAAGAGGAGAGUGGAAUUCCACGUGUAGCGGUGAAAUGCGUAGAGAUGUGGAGGAACACCAGUGGCGAAGGCGACUCUCUGGUCUGUAACUGACGCUGAGGAGCGAAAGCGUGGGGAGCGAACAGGAUUAGAUACCCUGGUAGUCCACGCCGUAAACGAUGAGUGCUAAGUGUUAAGGGGGUUUCCGCCCCUUAGUGCUGCAGCUAACGCAUUAAGCACUCCGCCUGGGGGAGUACGGUCGCAAGACUGAAACUCAAAGGAAUUGACGGGGGCCCGCACAAGCGGUGGAGCAUGGUGGUUUAAUUCGAAGCAACGCGAAGAACCUUACCAGGUCUUGACAUCCUCUGACAACCCUAGAAGAUAGGGCUUUCCCUUCGGGGACAGAGUGACAGGUGGUGCAUGGUUGUCGUCAGCUCGUGUCGUGAGAUGUUGGGUUAAGUCCCGCAACGAGCGCAACCCUUGAUCUUAGUUGCCAGCAUUCAGUUGGGCACUCUAAGGUGACUGCCGGUGACAAACCGGAGGAAGGUGGGGAUGACGUCAAAUCAUCAUGCCCCUUAUGACCUGGGCUACACACGUGCUACAAUGGACAGAACAAAGGGCUGCGAGACCGCAAGGUUUAGCCAAUCCCACAAAUCUGUUCUCAGUUCGGAUCGCAGUCUGCAACUCGACUGCGUGAAGCUGGAAUCGCUAGUAAUCGCGGAUCAGCAUGCCGCGGUGAAUACGUUCCCGGGCCUUGUACACACCGCCCGUCACACCACGAGAGUUUGCAAACACCCGGAAGUCGG